rnacentral:rRNA from 1 species
AGCCCGUCUGGAAACACGGACCAAGGAGUCUUACAAUAAUGCGAGUGUUUGUCAUGGAAUGACGAACGCGCAGCGAAAGCGAAAUAGCUCUUGAACACGAGCGGGGCCUCUCUUUCCUCGGAAGGAGAAUACACUUGAAGCAUUACUGUAGGGACCCGAAAGAUGGUGAACUAUGCCUGAGCAACUUGAAGUCAGGCGAAAGCCUGAUGGAGGAGUGCAAACGGUUCUGACGUGCAAAUCGAUCGUGAGAUUUAGGUAUAGGGGCGAAAGACUAAUCGAACCAUCUAGUAGCUGGUUCCCUCCGAAAUUUCCCUUAGGAUAGCUGCAACUUGUGAGUUUCAUCAGGUAAAGCGAAUGAUUAGAGGCAUUGGGGGCGAAAUGCCCUCGACCUAUUCUCAAACUUUAAAUGGGUGAGAAGUUUGGCUUGUUUAAGUAAAGUCAGACCUCGAAUCGAUAGUUGUUAGUGGGCCAUUUCUGGUAAGCAGAACUGGCGAUGCGGGAUGAUCCGAACGUGUCAGUUAAAGUGCCGAACUACUCGCUCAUCAAGAUCCCACAAAAGGUGUUGGUACAUUAAGACAGCAGGACGGUGGCCAUGG